rnacentral:lncRNA from 1 species
AAUCAUGAGUCUCGACUGAAUUAGGAUUAAGGUGAACUCGUCAAACCCAACAUCAGUUAUAUGAAUCAAUCGAUCGAUCCGAGUCCGAUGUGAAACCCAAUAAAAAAUUCUUUUCCAUUAUUUCACUCUGCCAUGGCCAUGGGCUUAAGGACUCGAUCUUUCGAUCAUCAUAGGACUACUCCUCUCAUCUACCGAGGUUGAUAGAUCCCAUCUUGGUGUGAUCUGGUUCCUACAAUGGAUAUGCUACAGCCAACAUACACCUCAGGGUUUUGAAUGGCUAGG